ACUUCUGUGCAGGACUCGUGUUGAGAGCCCACUUUUGUACAGUUGGACCUCAGAUCAGGCGAGAC
rnacentral:rRNA from 1 species